rnacentral:rRNA from 1 species
UGCUUGGAACAUCGGGAGAGUGGCAAACGGGUGAGUAACACGUAAGUAACCUGCCCCUAAGUAGGGGAUAACUCUGAGAAAUCGGAGCUAAUACCGUAUGUGGUGGUGGAGGUAAGGCUUCAUCACUAAAGCCUUCGGGCGCUUGGGGAGGGGCUUGUGUCCGAUUAGCUAGUUGGUAGGGUAAUGGUUUACCAAGGCGAUGAUCGGUAGCUGGUCUGAGAGGACGAUCAGCCACACUGGGACUGAGAUACGGCCCAGACUCCUAUGGGAGGCAGCAGCAAGGAAUUUUGUGCAAUGGGCGAAAGCCUGACACAGCGACACCGCGUGGGGGAUGAAGGCCUUCGGGUUGUAAACCUCUUUUCUCAGGGAAGAAUAAUGACGGUACCUGAGGAAUAAGUCUCGGCUAACUACGUGCCAGCAGCCGCGGUAAUACGUAGGAGGCGAGCGUUAUCCGGAUUUACUGGGCGUAAAGAGGGCGUAGGCGGCUUUUCAAGUCGGGUGUAAAAUCUCCCCGCUUAACGGGGAGGGGUCAUCCGAUACUGUUAAGCUAGAGGGCAGCAGAGGGAGGUGGAAUUCCCGGUGGAGUGGUGAAAUGCGUAGAUAUCGGGAGGAACACCAGUGGCGAAGGCGGCCUCCUGGGCUGUUACUGACGCUGAGGCCCGAAAGCGUGGGGAGCAAACAGGAUUAGAUACCCUGGUAGUCCACGCCAUAAACUAUGGACACUAGGUAUAGGGAGUAUCG